rnacentral:lncRNA from 1 species
AAUGAAUGAGAAGGUUGCUUCGAUCAAGGAAUUCUAAUGCAUAUAUUAAAAAAAAAAAAGUCUCGGUUCAUGUGUAAAAAAAAAAAAACAAAAAAAUAUAAGAAACCUUUGUUAGGGAAACCGUGUGACGUGACCUUGCUGAAUAAAGUUUCAAACCAAAAUGCCAAUUUUUAAUUGCAAACCGAGAAUGGAGGAAACAAAUAAAAAGAUGAAUGCACCAAUGUAUAUAUCAAUUUCCGUACACACUCUUUCUAAUCACUCCUAUCUAAUCUACUUCAUUCUUCAUUUUUCAAAUAAAAAGAAAAAAAUGCAUUGCUAUAAACUAAUGG